AGAUCAUUAAUUUUAAUUCAUCAAAACAUUAAGUUUUUAAUUUAAAUAAUACUUUAUUUUUAUUUAAAUAUUUUCUGUUAGAGAAAUAAAUUAUUUAAAGUUAAUAAUUGAGAUAAUUUAAUUCUAAUAAUAAAUAAAAUAAGUUAUAUCUUAGAUAUCGAUGUUAAACAUGGAUAUAAUAGGAGAAUGUUAGAGAGAUUAGUGGACAGAAUUAGGAAGAAAUGUGAGGAGAAGCCCAACAGGAAGACAGAUACACAUGAAGAAAAUAGAACAUGCUACUCUCAAGUCACGUACUACCCUGCCACUGAUAAGAUCCUUAGUAAAGCAAUGAAGAGAACAAAUAAAAAGAUGGUGAAGAAGAGAGGGCCGUCCUUAGUUAACAUACUUCGAAAUGAUAAGGACCUAGUAGAUGCCAAUAAGAGAUCAGGGAUAU
rnacentral:lncRNA from 1 species